AUCUUGCGCAAUGGGCGAAAGCCGGACGCAGCCAUGCCGCGUGAAUGAUGAAGGUCUUAGGAUUGUAAAAUUCUUUCAUCGGGGAAGAUAAUGACGGUAACCGGAGAAGAAGCCUCGGCUAACUUCGUGCCAACCGCCGCGGUAAUACGAAGGGGGCUAGCGUUGCACGGAAUUACUGGGCGUAAAGGGCGCGUAGGCGGACAUUUAAGUGAUGGGUGAAAUCCCAGAGCUCCACUCUGGAACUGCCUUUGAUACUGGCGAUCUUGAGUAUGAGGGAGGUAUGUGGAACUCCGAGUGUAGAGGUGAAAUUCGUAGAUAUUCGGAAGAACACCAGUGGCGAAGGCGACAUACUGGCUCAUUACUGACGCUGAGGCGCGAAAGCGUGGGGAGCAAACA
rnacentral:rRNA from 1 species